rnacentral:rRNA from 1 species
GCUCAACCUUGCGCGUGCAGCGGGUACGGGCGUAACUAGAGUGCAGUAGGGGAGUCUGGAAUUCCUGGUGUAGCGGUGAAAUGCGCAGAUAUCAGGAGGAACACCGGUGGCGAAGGCGGGACUCUGGGCUGUUACUGACGCUGAGGAGCGAAAGCAUGGGGAGCGAACAGGAUUAGAUACCCUGGUAGUCCAUGCCGUAAACGUUGGGCACUAGGUGUGGGGCUCAUUCCACAAGUUCCGUGCCGCAGCUAACGCAUUAAGUGCCCCGCCUGGGGAGUACGGCCGCAAGGCUAAAACUCAAAGGAAUUGACGGGGGCCCGCACAAGCGGCGGAGCAUGCGGAUUAAUUCGAUGCAACGCGAAGAACCUUACCAAGGCUUGACAUACACUGGAAUGUGCCAGAGAUGGUUCAGCUCUUUUGAGCUGGUGUACAGGUGGUGCAUGGUUGUCGUCAGCUCGUGUCGUGAGAUGUUGGGUUAAGUCCCGCAACGAGCGCAACCCUCGUUCUAUGUUGCCAGCACGUGAGGGUGGGAACUCAUAGGAGACUGCCGGGGUCAACUCGGAGGAAGGUGGGGAUGACGUCAAAUCAUCAUGCCCUUUAUGUCUUGGGCUUCACGCAUGCUACAAUGGUCGGUACAAAG